rnacentral:rRNA from 1 species
CAGUCGCCACGGUAAUACGAACCGUGCGAACGUUAUUCGGAAUUACUGGGCUUAAAGCGCGUGUAGGCGGGCCGCCACGUCGGUUGCUGAAAGCCCCCGGCUCAACCGGGGAGGGUCAUUGGAAACUGGGAAACUUGAGUGCAGAAGAGGAGAGUGGAAUUCCACGUGUAGCGGUGAAAUGCGUAGAGAUGUGGAGGAACACCAGUGGCGAAGGCGACUCUCUGGUCUGUAACUGACGCUGGGGAGCGAAAGCGUGGGGAGCGAACAGGAUUAGAUACCCCAGUAGUCCCUGUCUCUUAUA